AUGCUGUUGUGCUGCAAUGGGCACAAAAUGGCAAAACUGAUAAAAUCUGAGCAACGCAUUGGGCAUAAGCAACACAUCAAGAUCAUCACGGAUAUGCCUCUAGGGGGAAAAGAGAGUAGUACUUUGACGCCGGGCUUCAAAAGAUAUUCGAACACCGAAGAAAAAGAUGACGGCCAAGUUGGAUCACCGAGGAGAAAAUGCACAGCAACCAACAAAUCAAAACAAUCAGGCGGACAUUUACGACGGGAGGACAGGAUUAUAAGAAAUGAGCGAAAGCUUGAAGAUCGAUCGGACCAUUUCCGCAAGACGCGGAAAGCAAAGCCCGUACAAAGGGCAAACUCACACGGACGCCGGUGCGGCCGCGGGCAUGGCAGCUGCCCGUGGCCAGCUUGA
rnacentral:rRNA from 1 species